rnacentral:rRNA from 1 species
CACGUACUAUCAGAGUUUGAUCCUGGCUCAGGACGAACGCUGGCGGCACGCCUAACACAUGCAAGUCGAACGGAGAUAUUUUGGAUUUAUUUCGAAUAUCUUAGUGGCGGACGGGUGAGUAACACGUGAGCAACCUGCCUUUGAGAGAGGGAUAGCUUUUGGAAACGAAUGGUAAUACCUCAUAACGUAUAUUUGAGGCAUCUCAGAUAUACCAAAGAUUUAUCACUCAAAGAUGGGCUCGCGUCUGAUUAGCUAGAUGGUGAGGUAACGGCUCACCAUGGCGACGAUCAGUAGCCGGACUGAGAGGUUGAACGGCCACAUUGGGACUGAGACACGGCCCAG